GCUUGCACUUGAUGAAAGUGAGUGGCGGACGGGUGAGUAACACGUGGGUAACCUGCCCCAAAGCGGGGAAUAACAUUUGGAAACAGAUGCUAAUACCGCAUAACAACGAAGACCACAUGGUCUUCGUUUGAAAGACGGCGUAAGCUGUCACUUUGGGAUGGACCCGCGGCGUAUUAGCUAGUUGGUAAGGUAACGGCCUACCAAGGCGAUGAUACGUAGCCGACCUGAGAGGGUAAUCGGCCACAUUGGGACUGAGACACGGCCCAAACUCCUACGGGAGGCAGCAGUAGGGAAUCUUCCACAAUGGACGAAAGUCUGAUGGAGCAACGCCGCGUGAGUGAAGAAGGUUUUCGGAUCGUAAAACUCUGUUGUUAGAGAAGAACGUGGGUGAGAGUAACUGCUCAUCCAGUGACGGUAUCUAACCAGAAAGCCACGGCUAACUACGUGCCAGCAGCCGCGGUAAUACGUAGGUGGCAAGCGUUGUCCGGAUUUAUUGGGCG
rnacentral:rRNA from 1 species